CCUACGGGAGGCAGCAGUGAGGAAUAUUGGUCAAUGGCCGGAAGGCUGAACCAGCCAAGCCGCGUGAAGGACGAAGGUGCCAAGCAUUGUAAACUUCUUUUGUCAAGGGACAAAAUCAGGCUCGAGAGCCUGACCGAGGGUACUUGAAGAAAAAGCAUCGGCUAACUCCGUGCCAGCAGCCGCGGUAAUACGGAGGAUGCGAGCGUUAUCCGGAUGUAUUGGGUGUAAAGGGUGCGGAGGCGGCAUGUUAAGUUAGGGGUAACAGCCCGGGGCUCAACCCCGGCGAGCCGUUGAAACUGGCUAUCUUGAGAAGUCGAGAGGUAUGCGGAAUGCG
rnacentral:rRNA from 1 species